GCUGGGUGUGGUGGUGCACUCCUGUAAUCCCAGCAGCCUGGGAGGCUGAGUUCAAAGCCUCAGUAAUGACAAGGCCCUAAGCAACCCAGUGAGAUCUUGUCUCUA
rnacentral:sRNA from 1 species